ACAUACGAGGCCAGAAACAUAAAUUACACUCCUUAUGAUCAUCGUGGAAAACGCGAGAGACAAGCCAAUAAUCAUAAAUAACAAUAUAUUUUUAAAUAAACAGGAAAAUCUGCAUUUGGAUUGAUAAAAGUUUUGUUGUAUUAUUUGAUUUGCAUUGGGUCACUAUACGGUAUAUAGCAAAGCGAAACCAGUUCGAACGAGAUGUGCGCAGUGCCUUGACGAGACUCUUGGUGUCGAGUUGUUCUAAUAAAAUCGAAAGCUUUAUCAUCAAAUUAUGUUUUCUCAGAGUUAUCUUCUGUUUGCUGUGCUUAUAUUGGCAUGCCUGCUUUUACUAGUGGACGCCAAUGUUAUGACUAAAGUUAUCGAAGCGACAAAAUGCCCUGAAGGCUUUAAGCCCUUGAAAAUAGAUAAUAAUGUAAUAUGUAUUAAAAAAAAUUAAAAUAUAUUUUCAACGA